GAUAGUUAACUCUUACUGUUGCAUUGAUCCUCUUAUCAUUAUGUAAUGCCCUUCUUUGUCUCUUGAUCUUUGUUGGAUUAAAGUCUGUUUUAUCGGAGACUAGGAUUGCAACCCUGCUUUUAUUUGCUCUCCAAUUGCUUGGUAAGUGUUCCUCCGUCCCUUUAUUUUGAGCCUUUGUGUGUCUUUGCACGUGAGAUGGGUUUUGUUUUCAUCUUACUGUAUACUUUCUAAGAUAAGCACAGCUAGCACCUCUAAAUCUGCAGCAGAAUGCUGGCUCCAGGGUUAUUUACAUUACCAAAAGCAUUUUUAGGGAACUUUUUAUAAGGAAAGAGAGUUGUGUUAAGCUUCUUGUCACUCAGGUUUGGCAGUACAGCAGGAUGGUUCCCUUUCUUUUCUGUGCCGUGUGUGAUGCUUCUGAGUUUCCAAAGGCCUAUGGAAAAGUCAAGUAGGUGAGGCCCACUUUUUAUGGCAACGUGGCAUCCAUAGAAAAUGUUAGAACUGAGGAAAGUUGCAAUACUCCAAAUAAUAUAGAACGACUGCCAGGUUACGCCAUAAAGUGAGUUCAGUUAGUCACGCUGGCCUCGUGUUUCUCUGUAGUAUUUGUUUACAGUAGACAGGCGUAGCAUUUUUUUUUCCCAGUUAGGCUUUUUUAGAACCUCAUUGCCUUAAUACUUUAAAGUUUGGCUUUAGUUUCUCAAUUCUAAAACAUGUUGAUGAUGCUACGGGUAGUCUAGACUGAUUACCUUUUAUUCUGACAGGUCACGUGGACCAGCUUCAGUCACGUGAGCCCUGUGUAAAGAGGGGGACAGAUGAAGGCUGGACUGAAGUGCCCCCCGGCCCCUUUCUGGAGCACCCACUGUCCCCGGCUCAUCUCCUCCAACAGUGCAGGCCUCCUCCAGCUCGUGGGCACAGGCUUUACCAGUUUGGCAGCUCUCUCCCCAUCCUUCCCUGCUAAAUUUGCCACCAGGCUCUUAAGAAACACAGGGUAUGAUGAGACCCCACGGCACUGACAGAAGGCAAGGGCAUCUGCAAACGAGGGAGGUGGGAGGAACAGGGAGGCCCACCCCGGUGUCCACGCCCACUCAUUCUCCACAGAGCUCAAAAUAAAGUUGUGGGUCAUCAUGCUGAACCUACUAAUGGGUCACAAACUCCUUUACGAGGUAAUAAAAACCCCACGUGAGGCCCAUUCUCCAGGGUAAUGCGUAUGUAGAGAAAAUGCACCUCCAGGAUCACGGGGAUGGCAGAACCCCAAAAAUCGACCACGGACCCAAAGACGCUAAGAAAUAGUUCAACUGCUGUUCAUCUUUAGAGGAGAGGGCUCUCAGGCCACUACAGUGCGCACAAACACCCCACAGAGCAGGCAGAAGAUGAUGGGGCCUUCAGUGCCUCCUACGCUACAGCCAUGCUGAAAUCUUGAUGUUCCACAGGAGUAAAAGAAAGAAGUAAACAAAGAAACAGCUAUUAGAAAAUGGAAGAAAUGCUGACAUGAGAUUCUAACUUCUGAGGACCUCCCAGAGAUGACGGCAAAACUAAAACCAAGAGGAAGAAAAGCAGACUUUUCCAUACUCAUCAAUGUCAAUCCAGUGCCAGCAGCCGGCCAGACGCCGUCUGCUCCGCGUCUUUCCCUAAGCUGCUAAUACAGCAUCAGACUCCAUCCAGAAGCCAACAGAGGGCCAGCUGCUGCCGUGACAACGCUCAGGAACUGUCUGAGCUAAGAGACUGUCCCAGUGAAUUCCGUCCUGCCUGCUCCAAACGUGUGGUUCUGUAAUUAUUUAAUGUCCAUCCCAGGACUCCCUGACAUUCAUUUUGUAGGUAAAGAAACUUGUGAGUUUAUCUUAUUUCCAGAAAGGACAGCUGGACAAAAGAGAAACCAGCUGUAAUGGGUCCUUGCCACUAUCUGAAUCAGUGCCACAUGCUGUCUCUCCUUUAGGAAAGCCUGGGUCUCACCUGGCCAACCUGAGGCCAGUGACCAGACAGCCAUCCUCAGGCUUGGACAUCCACAGAGGCUGUGGUUUGGAUGUUGUCUGUUCCUGCCAGAAUUCAUGGUGAGACUUAAUUGCCAAUGUAGCAGUGUUGGAAGGUGGUCGGUCUGAGAAAUGACAGAUUUCUUACAAGACUGGGUUCAUUCUCCCACUGCUGGAUUAGUUCUUGCCGGAAUGGGUGAGUUCCUGUGAGAGCAGCUUGUUGGAAACAAGGCUGCCUUUCACAUUUGUUGGCUUUGCAUACCCCCACAUCCCUUUCUGCCUUCCCAGCAGCUGAAGCAGCAUGAGGCCCUGACAGAUGAGCUGUCUGAUCUUGGACUUCCCAGCCUCCAGAGUCAUGAGUCAAAUAAACUCCUUUUCUUUAUAAA